AACGAACGCUGGCGGCAGGCUUAACACAUGCAAGUCGAGCGCCCCGCAAGGGGAGCGGCAGACGGGUGAGUAACGCGUGGGAACGUACCCUUUGCUACGGAAUAGCUCCGGGAAACUGGAAUUAAUACCGUAUGUGCCCUCCGGGGGAAAGAUUUAUCGGCAAAGGAUCGGCCCGCGUUGGAUUAGCUAGUUGGUGGGGUAAUGGCCUACCAAGGCGACGAUCCAUAGCUGGUCUGAGAGGAUGAUCAGCCACAUUGGGACUGAGACACGGCCCAAACUCCUACGGGAGGCAGCAGUGGGGAAUAUUGGACAAUGGGCGCAAGCCUGAUCCAGCCAUGCCGCGUGAGUGAUGAAGGCCUUAGGGUUGUAAAGCUCUUUCACCGGAGAAGAUAAUGACGGUACCCGGAGAAGAAGCCCCGGCUAACUUCGUGCCAGCCGCCGCUGUAAAAC
rnacentral:rRNA from 1 species